rnacentral:rRNA from 1 species
GACAGAGGCCUCAAGCGUUAGGCGGAAUCACUGGGCUUAAAGCGUGUGUAGGCGGAUCGUUAAGUGCCUUGUGAAAUCCCACGGCUUAACUGUGGAACGGCUGGGCAUACUGGCGGUCUUGAGCCAUCUAGGGGCGACUGGAACAGACGGUGGAGCGGUGAAAUGCGUAGAUAUCGUUUGGAACGCCAAUGGUGAAAACAGGUCGCUGGGGAUGAGCUGACGCUGAGACACGAAAGCCAGGGGAGCAAACGGG